GACGAACGCUGGCGGCGUGCUUAACACAUGCAAGUCGAACGGAAAGGCCCUGCUUUUGUGGGGUGCUCGGGUGGCGAACGGGUGAGUAACACGUGAGUAACCUGCCCUUGACUUUGGGAUAACUUCAGGAAACUGGGGCUAAUACCGGAUAGGAGCUCCUGCUGCAUGGUGGGGGUUGGAAAGUUUCGGCGGUUGGGGAUGGACUCGCGGCUUAUCAGCUUGUUGGUGGGGUAGUGGCUUACCAAGGCUUUGACGGGUAGCCGGCCUGAGAGGGCGACCGGCCACAUUGGGACUGAGAUACGGCCCAGACUCCUACGGGAGGCAGCAGUGGGGAAUAUUGCACAAUGGGCGGAAGCCUGAUGCAGCAACGCCGCGUGCGGGAUGACGGCCUUCGGGUUGUAAACCGCUUUCGCCUGUGACGAAGCGUGAGUGACGGUAAUGGGUAAAGAAGCACCGGCUAACUACGUG
rnacentral:rRNA from 1 species